AUCGCUUCUCGGCCUUUUGGCUAAGAUCAAGUGAAGCAUCUGCUUUUAUUUUUUUUUAUUUUUUUUUUUUUUUAAGAUUUUUUCUUUAUUUAUCUGACAGAGAUCACAAGUAGGCAGAGAGGCAGGCAGAGAGAGAGGAGGAAGCAGGCUCCCUGCAGCGCAGAGAGCCCGAUGUGGGCCUUGAUCCC